rnacentral:rRNA from 1 species
UAGGGAAUCUUCCGCAAUGGACGCAAGUCUGACGGAGCAACGCCGCGUGAGUGAAGAAGGAUUUCGGUUCGUAAAACUCUGUUGUUAGAGAAGAACAGCGCAUAGAGUAACUGUUAUGCGUGUGACGGUAUCUAACCAGAAAGCCACGGCUAACUACGUGCCAGCAGCCGCGGUAAUACGUAGGUGGCAAGCGUUGUCCGGAUUUAUUGGGCAUAAAGCGAGCGCAGGCGGUCAAUUAAGUCUGAUGUGAAAGCCCCCGGCUCAACCGGGGAGGGUCAUUGGAAACUGGUUGACUUGAGUGCAGAAGAGGAGAGUGGAAUUCCAUGUGUAGCGGUGAAAUGCGUCGAUAUAUGGAGGAACACCAGUGGCGAAGGCGACUCUCUGGUCUGUAGCUGACGCUGAGGCUCGAAAGCGUGGGUAGCAAACAGG